CAAAACUCAAGGAUUAUGUGAUGUUGCUAGAAGGAUUUCUACAUCAGAAGGCAACAGCAGUAACAGGUAAUUAGCAAGAACUGGAAGGACGGCAUAUUUUCUACACUGGGUGACAAUAUUGAGUUCAAUUGAGUGAAAGAAACAACCACAUGACAGGAAACAUAGCUAACAACAUCUCUUGAGCUUUCUGCCUCGCAGCUUCAGCCCCAAGAUAGACACCAAGCUGACUCUCUUUCAGCUUCAAAUCAAAUAUCCCAAGGAAGAGACGCAUCAAUCCAGCUUGGAACAGAUACCAUCUUUGCACAGGUCAACUCUGGAUCAUGUAAGAAAGAGAAGGAAAAACAGGAAGAAAUUCCAGAAGACGAUUAUUGGACCCUAUUCUUGGAUAAGAUGCCUUCAAGUCUCGCCCACCAGCAAAGCUGCAAUAGGAGUUUUGAUUCUUUUGUGAAGGAGAAACCUUCUUUUGCAAGUUUCACGGGAAGAGAUUUAUUUGUUUGCUUUUUGUGUCUUGUUAUUUGCCAUUAACUUGAUCAAUUCAAUUCUCUAAUGGACUUUGUACUCUAAAAACACAUUUCUUGUUCAGGACUUGGGCGAAAAAACACCCUCCACGCACAGGUAUUUUCAAUUUUUUAAAAUCUAUCCUUUAGGUGAGUCUGUUGAAAAUUACUAUGAUAAUGUCUGCAGGUGGUCAGGGAUGAUAGACUCAGACGUAAGGCUUUGUCGCUGGCGAGAUCUGUCCGCAUUGCAGGAAGGAAAGAGCAAGAGCUUACCAACCAGAAGCUGGGCAGCCUCCACUCUCCAGUUCCUCAACAUAUCAAAACUACAGACUUUCCUGUAUUCAUAAAGGCUACUAAGGUCCCUGCUAGAUUAGCCUUGAGGCCAAUGAAGCAGGAGGGACCUCGUGACAGUAGGUGGGCAAGGAGACCUCUGAACACUCCUCUUGUAGGAGACACCAGACCUCAUGGUCCUAAGUUAGCAACCUUAAAAAGGACUAUUUCAAGAGGGCCUCAUGACACACAUUUGAAA
rnacentral:lncRNA from 1 species